ACAUCGACUCUAAGAAAGAGAUAUGAAUCAGCUUUUCUGAGUAGAUAUUUUUUGAAGAUUUCUAUAUGGAUUAGCUUAUGAAUUUUACUCCUUGUGAUAGGAGAUCACAAAGUUUACGAUAAUCUUGGAGUUGGAACAUUCAUUUCGAUGAUAUGAUCAUAUUGUUGGAUCAAAAAUGAGGAAUUAUGUGUUUUCAAAAAGAUU
rnacentral:lncRNA from 1 species